UUGGUGACUGACCUCUGGCCGGUGCCCUCCUCCCUGAUGCCUCCUCAUGCUAAGCGCUGUGAGUGCGACCUGGGAGAGCGGCGCGCUGCUGCUGCGACUGGGAGAGGCGACUGGGAGCACAGCUCAGAACCAAGCCAUGCAGAAACGCACUCAGCCGAGAAAUCAGGCAUCAAAAGCCCCAACUGACAGUCGGCCUGUCCACCUAUCAGCAGAGCUCUUUUAUGGUGAAGAGGAGUGAGGUAAUAUAAUUUGCGUUUGUGUAAACAGCCCUCAUCAGAGCCAAUAUGGCAGUGUACCACUCUGGGGACAGUUCUCAAUAAGCCCUUGUUCUUCAGAUGUACACAGACACAGAUGUGAAGACAGCAGAGCCAUGAAGGCAAACAGUAGAUAAAAGACAGGCAGAGAUGGCAAAGGAAAGAUGAACCACACACAUGAGCAGCAGGCAGAGUGAAAAUACAACAAAAUGCGCAAAGGAAAUUGAAUAAAAAUGUGCCGUGAUGUGCACUGAAACAG